rnacentral:rRNA from 1 species
AGCGAACGCUGGCGGCAGGCCUAACACAUGCAAGUCGAACGAACCCUUCGGGGUUAGUGGCGGACGGGUGAGUAACACGUGGGAACGUGCCUUUAGGUUCGGAAUAACUCAGGGAAACUUGGGCUAAUAGCGAAAUUGCCCUUCGGGGGAAAGCUUUAUCGCCUUUAGAGCGGCCCGCGUCUGAUUAGCUAGUUGGUGAGGUAAAUGCUCACCAAGGCUACGAUCAGUAGCUGGGCUGAGAGGAUGACCAGCCACAUGGGGACUGAGACACGGCCCAAACUCCUACGGGGGGCAGCAGUGGGGAAUCUUGCGCAAUGGGCGAAAGCCUGACGCAGCCAUGCCGCGUGGAUGAUGAAGGUCUUAGGAUUGUAAAAUCCUUUCACCGGUGAAGAUAAUGACUGUAGCCGGAGAAGAAGCCCCGGCUAACUUCGUGCCAGCCGCCGCCGUAAAAC